AAAGACGCGGAGCCAAUAACACAUCUGAGGGACUACCUCUCAACUACAUCCUCCAAGGCAAUAAAAGUGUUGGCAAAGAUAGAGAGCCUAGAGUCUCUCCGAAGGUUGGAAGAGAUUGUUGAGGCUUCCGAUGGGAUUAUGAUAGCAAGGGGAGAUCUAGGAGUUGAGAUUCCACUUGAACAGAUUCCAUCUGUUCAGAAAGAUAUUACUUAUGUUUGCAGGCAGCUCAACAAGCCCGUUAUCGUGGCCUCUCAACUUCUAGAGUCAAUGGUCGAAUACCCCACUCCAACUAGAGCAGAGGUUGCAGAUGUUUCUGAAGUGGUACGACAGUAUGCUGA
rnacentral:misc_RNA from 1 species